CAAACGGAAUUGUUCGCUGUCACUCUCGUUGUACUGUUCGCACGUGGAGCCGAACCAUCAGAGUAUGCUCACGGCACCGUGUCACCCAGGGGAGGGGAAAAUAUCCCCACGGACAUCGAGCUGCACAA